rnacentral:lncRNA from 15 species
UAAGUGUUAAUGCAACAUGGAUUUGUUCACACAUUUACCCUAGAAAAAAUAAUCUUUACAUUUCUUGUAUGUUUAGGACAUAUGAUCAAAUAGUGAUUUCAUCUCUCUUGCAGAGAAGUCAGAUCAACUUUUGAUUGUUAUUUUCAUGCUAAUGGAAUGAUAUGCGUAAUUAGUGAUCAUGAAUGUACUGGAGAGGCAAAAUCUUGCCCUCCGUUGUCAAUGCAAAAUGUUAAGUGGAAUCAUACACCUACUGUGUGGACACUGAUGAAGAGCCAGGAAUAAAUAUGAAUGUGUUCUUUGAAAUGUAUGCAAUAUAUCACUUAUAUUUAUAUAUAACCAAUAAUACAAAUGUGUUUGCAGUGUCAUUUGAAAGAGUAAUGCAUGGCCAGCAAUGUGAAUAUAAAACAUAUACACCAACUUUUACAGGGUUGUGUCAGCUUUCAAGCAGGUAGUGCACUCAGGUCAAAGGUGAAGAACUCCAAAUUGGAUGAGACGGGUGUUUUUGGCAUAUCCUAUAAGCAUGAAGAUCCACGUCGCUUUCUUAGUCUGAAGAGAGGUGAAAGCCUUUCGAAUGCUGUCUACCUGCUAAAGGAACUGCAAGAACAGUUUGGGACAAGCAAAACAAUUGUCUUCAUGUAUGAUAUUGCUUGCAGAUUAAAACCUCACUUGCAGAAGUUUUAUCCAGAUCUUCUGACAAAGAAGCUGACAUUUGCUGUUCCUGCGUUCCAUGCUUAUGGACAUGAUGUUGCUUGUCAGGUUGUCAUCAUAAUCUUUUGACUGUUAAAAGCUAUGCUAGGCAGUUUAUCACUUAUUGAAAUGAUAAACUUCUGAUUUUGUUUUGAUUCUGUUUUGUAGAUUUCAUACAGCUGUAGGAAUGUUGAAGGUGCAGGUUUAGCUGAUGGGGAACAGCUGGAACGACUGUGGUCAUACCUACGCCGUUUUGUAAGGUGAAUAUAAUGUCUUCUUUAUUAAAUCCAUUUAAAGCAAAAGCCCUGGCUCUCAAAGCUGCAAAGGUCAACUCAGUUGAGGAUGAGGCAGAUGCAGAGAUGGCUGAAAUCAUGAAACAUACAGGCAAAACACAAAAUGCAUUGUAGGUUGAAAAAAAAGUGCAGAAAAAGAGAAAAGUA